rnacentral:rRNA from 1 species
UAACGAAUAUUCCGCAAUGGACGAAAGUCUGACGGAGCAAUGCCGCGUGCAGGAUGAAGCGGUUUCGCCGUGUAAACUGCUGUCAGGGGCAGGAAAAACUGAUCCGCCCCAAAGGAAGAGACGGCUAACCCUGUGCCAGCAGCCGCGGUAAUACAGGGGGUGCGAGCGUUAAUCGGAAUUACUGGGCGUAAAGGGCGCGUAGGCGGUCGAGUAAGUCGGAUGUGAAAUCCCCGGGCUUAACCUGGGAAUUGCAUUCGAUACUGCUUGGCUAGAGUGUGGAAGAGGGAAGCGGAAUUUCCGGUGUAGCGGUGAAAUGCGUAGAUAUCGGAAGGAACACCAGUGGCGAAGGCGGCUUCCUGGUCCAACACUGACGUUGAAACACGAAAGCGUGGGGAGCAAACAGGAUUAGAUACCCUAGUAGUCCCUGAGCGGGCUGGCAAGGCGCAU